rnacentral:rRNA from 1 species
AUCUAGCGCACCGUAGCCGCUCGAGCACCGGGACGCCAUGGAUGGGAAGGCUUCUUCCUCCUCUGUCCCGAUGCCAUGAACAACGCAGCUCCACCACCAGACCAUGGAGACGGAGCUCCUUCUCCCGCAUCACUCAUGGAGCCUCCCUCUCAGCGCCCGGAGCCCUAGAGAGUAUGAAUCGCUCCUCCCGCUGUCUCCUUCUACGACUUCUCUUCUUCUCCUCUUGAUGCAUUCUCGUAUUGUGCCGAGGAAAGGAAUUCAAGGCCAUGGCCGGAGAGAGGAGCUGCUCCUAGUAUAGGACGCCAUGGAAGGUGCUGCUUUGAUGAGGAGAAACUGCUGUUGUAGGACGUCCUCCUCCCAUCCCCUACCCCCACACGUGGGUUAUGAUGAUAUUUCCAAGGAAAUAUACUGACCCUGAUGCGACAAAGGUGUCCAUUUUCCUUUUCUUAAACUUAUUUACUCUGUUUUUUGUUCUUCCUGUAGUUCCAGUUUCACAUUGCUGGUGUUUCAUGCAAUAUUCAUCAGAGCCUGCUUACAUGCCUUAUUAUUGAGUAACUUGAUUAGUAUUUCUGCCACUGUCCUAUCUCAGUAAACUGUUUGUUUUUUCAGUAGCUAAAAAAGAAAGUAAAUCUAUUAUAUCCUGGUAUUCUAGAAUUCCAGUCUCACAGAAGUUACUCUGUGUCCUGCUUUAGCUUGCAAACCUGAUGCUCUGCUGUCUGUUCUCAUUUCUUAACUUUGAAAUGUUUCAAACUUAAGAGUGCCCUCAUCCUCUAUUACAUCUGUAUGCACCUUGGUAAGAAAUAUAUUGGUCUUGUAAAUAUCAUUGGGAAGUACAUCUGCUUCUGUAUGUUCUUGCAAGCAUUAAAUGUUGCUGACAUUCUCACUAAAGAAUGUCCCUCCAGCACAUUCCUUUGAAAUGUGACCUUGAGUCAAGCUCCAAGAAGAUAUUCAACAGAUCUGCAUCUGCUCUAGAUGCUCAUGCACAAGAUACUAAGUUAUUGGUUGUGUUAUUCUGGUUGGUACUAUCUUAUAAACAUGUGGGGUAAUGAUACUGCUGGGACAAAUUUGAUGAAAUGUUGUACUGUUUGUUCAUUCUGUUGUGUUAUUUUGUGAUCCUGUGG